rnacentral:rRNA from 1 species
AAAUUGAAGAGUUUGAUCAUGGCUCAGAUUGAACGCUGGCGGCAGGCCUAACACAUGCAAGUCGAACGGUAACAGGAAGAAGCUUGCUUCUUUGCUGACGAGUGGCGGACGGGUGAGUAAUGUCUGGGAAACUGCCUGAUGGAGGGGGAUAACUACUGGAAACGGUAGCUAAUACCGCAUAACGUCGCAAGACCAAAGAGGGGGACCUUCGGGCCUCUUGCCAUCGGAUGUGCCCAGAUGGGAUUAGCUAGUAGGUGGGGUAACGGCUCACCUAGGCGACGAUCCCUAGCUGGUCUGAGAGGAUGACCAGCCACACUGGAACUGAGACACGGUCCAGACUCCUACGGGAGGCAGCAGUGGGGAAUAUUGCACAAUGGGCGCAAGCCUGAUGCAGCCAUGCCGCGUGUAUGAAGAAGGCCUUCGGGUUGUAAAGUACUUUCA